UACGGAGGGUGCAAGCGUUAUCCGGAUUCACUGGGUUUAAAGGGUGCGUAGGUGGGCAGGUAAGUCAGUGGUGAAAUCUCCGAGCUUAACUCGGAAACUGCCAUUGAUACUAUCUGUCUUGAAUAUCCUGGAGGUGAGCGGAAUAUGUCAUGUAGCGGUGAAAUGCUUAGAUAUGACAUAGAACACCAAUUGCGAAGGCAGCUCACUACCCAGAUAUUGACACUGAGGCACGAAAGCGUGGGGAUCAAACAGG
rnacentral:rRNA from 1 species